GCCACUGACGGCGCAGCGGCCAGCUGCGCGCGGUGCCAGCGGACAGCCGAGGCGUAGGCUGAGUGCGGCGGGGUGGGCAGGCGCGCAGGGCGGCGCCUUGUCGCGCCACGGCUCGCCGCCGA
rnacentral:SRP_RNA from 1 species